GAUGAACGCUAGCGGCAGGCCUAAUACAUGCAAGUCGAACGGUGUCUUCGGACAUAGUGGCGCACGGGUGCGUAACACGUAUGCAACCUACCUUACAUUGGGGGAUAGCCUUUCGAAAGGGAGAUUAAUACCGCAUAAGACAGUAGCUGGGCAUCCAGCAGCUGUUAAAGAUUUAUCGAUGUAAGCUGGGCAUGCGUCCAAUUAGCUAGUCGGUGAGGUAACGGCUCACCAAGGCAAUGAUUGGUAGGGGAACUGAGAGGUCAAUCCCCCACAUUGGCACUGAGAUACGGGCCAGACUCCUACGGGAGGCAGCAGUAGGGAAUAUUGGGCAAUGGACGCAAGUCUGACCCAGCCAUGCCGCGUGCAGGAUGAAGGCGUUAUGCGUUGUAAACUGCUUUUAUACAGGAAGAAACGACUCUUGCGAGAGGCAUUGACGGUACUGUAUGAAUAAGCACCGGCUAACUCCGUGCCAGCCGCCGCAGUAAAAC
rnacentral:rRNA from 1 species